CCUACGGGAGACAGCAGUGGGGGAUAUUGCACAAUGGGGGGAACCCUGAUGCAGCGACGCCGCGUGGGUGAAGAAGCGCCUCGGCGCGUAAAGCCCUGUCAGCAGGGAAGAAAAUGACGGUACCUGAAGAAUAAGCCCCGGCUAACUACGUGCCAGCAGCCGCGGUCAUACGUAGGGGGCAAGCGUUAGCCGGAUUUACUGGGUGUAACGGGGUCGCGGACGGUGAUGCAAGCCAGGAGUGAAAGCCCGGGGCCCAACCCCGGGACUGCUCUUGGAACUGCGUGGCUGGAGUGCAGGAGAGGCAGGCGGAAUUCCUGGUGUAGCGGUGAAAUGCGUAGAUAGCAGGAGGAACACCGGUGGCGAAGGCGGCCUGCUGGACUGCAACUGACGUUGAGGCCCGAAAGCGUGGGGAGCAAACAGGAUUAGAUACCCCUGUAGUC
rnacentral:rRNA from 1 species